UUUUGGAUUGCUUGAAAUCUAUUGCUUAUAAUCUCUUCCUCCCCUGUUAAAUCUGUUGCUUGAAAUCUUUUGGAUUGCUUGAAAUUUGCUGCUUAAAAUGUCUUCUUCCCCUAUUAAACUUGUUGCUUGAAAUCGCUUGAAACAGAUUUUGAAUCGUUAUUCGAUGGAUUGAUUAACAACAGAUUGACCCGAUGCUGCUCGAAUGCUUUAUAUGAACUUUUUAUAUCGAAUUGAUGUUGCUCUAUUUUUUAUAAUAGAUUGAUGAUGGUCGGUUUUUUAUUUCAUUGCACCUUUAUUGUUAAAAGUCAGAAGCUUUUCUUUAUGAAGCAGUGAUUAAGACUCAACCUAAAUAUCACUUUCAAAUGGUUUAGUAUCCCUCGAGUGCUUGGACAACUCGCUCUACAGUCAAGAAAAUGAAAAAAAAGACAACAGAAAGCUUGUAUUAUUACAGAGGGAAUAAGCCUUAUCUUGAAAUUAACAUUCAAUAUUAUACUUAUGGUAAGAGAAGAUAAAAUGUCAAUACGGUUAUCAAAAGAUACAAUAUCAAUACACACAAAGACUAGUGAACAAGUGCAUUAGGGGUAUUGUAUAGAUACUGAUGUCUCCUAUCAUGAGCUGGCUGCCUAGAGCUUCUUAAGUGAGGCUUUGAGAUGCGACUGAAGACCAAUUAGACUGGUGGCCAUUUCCACAACAUAAGAUAGUUCACAAUUCUCCGCUUUAAAAACUCAAUUGAUAUCCUUGACUUGUCCAUUGGGUAAGUAUUUUGCCAUAGAAUUGACUAGACGGACCAGGGGUUUAAGUUAUUGUUUUGGAAUUAACUAAAUUUGGAGACAGUAGCUCCUUGUGCCUAUUGACAAUACAAUAUUAGGUUGUAUAGCUUAAUUGACAUCCUUGAACAACCUCGAGAGUCCUUCAGUUUCAAAAUUUCUCGCUUUAUUUGGUCUACUCAUUUUAUUUUGGAAUCAAUAUAAUUAGUAAUUUGAUCAAUUAGCUCAUCGAGUUUGACUUAAUUGUAGUUUUCAUGUUUUUUUUGUGUGUGAAAAUGUUAGUAUAAUUAUUUGGUUCAAGGGGUCCGAGCUUGUAUAGGUAGCUUUUUAGCUUCUUUUAAAGUGGAAGUUUAAUAUCUUCAAAUAUAAGUGUUAUUCUAAGUUAUUGUUUUAUGUCUAGAAUGAAAAGUCUAGUGGUAUAUGAUUCGCUCAUAGCAUUCUCUCUAACACCUUAAGUGUUCAAGCUUCUGAUAAGAAAAAGUAGAUAAACACAUUUCUUUAAUAAAGUAUAAAAAGUAGCUUCUGUUUGACAUUGUAUAAUAUUAAUUUGCAAUGAGAGUAACCCUCAACAAGGAUGUAGUUGAUUUCGAGCAGCUUAUAUCAGUAGCUAUUUAUGUUCAUGUUCUAUAUUGCUCCAUUUGUUUUACAUUCUUGACCUAAGAGUCUUUCGGAAGCCCCUUAAUCUGUAUAUCUGUUCGUAUAUUUGGUAAGCGAUGACAUGCUCAAUCAUCUCUUUAUAAUUUCUAGAUGUCUUAGUAAGUAAAUCCACACCCUUUUAGGCUUUGCAUAAUCGGUUGAAUUUUUCAAGUUUAUUUACUAUGUCUCUUUCUUG
rnacentral:lncRNA from 1 species